rnacentral:rRNA from 1 species
GUCCACGCCGUAAACGAUGGACGCUAGGUGUGGGCGGUGUCGACUCCGUCCGUGCCGAAGCUAACGCAUUAAGCGUCCCGCCUGGGGAGUACGGCCGCAAGGCUAAAACUCAAAGGAAUUGACGGGGGCCCGCACAAGCAGCGGAGCAUGCUGUUUAAUUCGAUGCGACGCGAAGAACCUUACCUGGGCUUGACAUGUACCCGAAAUCCUGGGAAACCAGGCCCCCUCGCAAGAGCGGGUAUACAGGUGGUGCAUGGCUGUCGU